rnacentral:tRNA from 1 species
GCUUCCGUAGCGCAGUAGGCAGCGCGUCAGUCUCAUAACCUUGCAAGGUCGUGAGUUCGAGCCUCAUCGGGAGCA